GUAGAACGCUGAAGAGAGGAGCUUGCUCUUCUUGGAUGAGUUGCGAACGGGUGAGUAACGCGUAGGUAACCUGCCUUGUAGCGGGGGAUAACUAUUGGAAACGAUAGCUAAUACCGCAUAACAAUGGAUGACACAUGUCAUUUAUUUGAAAGGGGCAAUUGCUCCACUACAAGAUGGACCUGCGUUGUAUUAGCUAGUAGGUGAGGUAACGGCUCACCUAGGCGACGAUACAUAGCCGACCUGAGAGGGUGAUCGGCCACACUGGGACUGAGACACGGCCCAGACUCCUACGGGAGGCAGCAGUAGGGAAUCUUCGGCAAUGGGGGCAACCCUGACCGAGCAACGCCGCGUGAGUGAAGAAGGUUUUCGGAUCGUAAAGCUCUGUUGUAAGUCAAGAACGAGUGUGAGAGUGGAAAGUUCACACUGUGACGGUAGCUUACCAGAAAGGGACGGCUAACUACGUGCCAGCAGCCGCGGUAAUACGUAGGUCCCGAGCGUUGUCCGGAUUUAUUGGGCGUAAAGCGAGCGCAGGCGGUUUGAUAAGUCUGAAGUUAAAGGCUGUGGCUCAACCAUAGUUCGCUUUGGAAACUGUCAAACUUGAGUGCAGAAGGGGAGAGUGGAAUUCCAUGUGUAGCGGUGAAAUGCGUAGAUAUAUGGAGGAACACCGGUGGCGAAAGCGGCUCUCUGGUCUGUAACUG
rnacentral:rRNA from 1 species